CUAGGAAUGUGACUUUUCUUCUCCUCUCCUCGGUUGAGUGAUGGCUCAUCCAUAUGCCAAGGGACAACCGUACUAAAGAAUGAGCAGAAAUCGAAACUGCUCUCAGUGAUUCCCCACCUUGGCCCGCGCACCUUUGCAGGCGGGGUGGGCAGGCAGGGCUAGGGGAGGGGUGGAGGCAAGGUUUGCAGAGUCAUCUGCAAAAGAUUUUAAAUCUAUAUGCGCGCUGAGCAUUGCAUAUAGACGGAUUAAACUUUCACACUGAGUUCCUACUCUUUCUCAAAUAUUGAUAUACACACUAUUUUGGUAAAUAAAACACAUAUUUAUUUAUAAUAAUUACAAAAUGGUUUGUAACUGCUAACAAGUGAUGUCUGAGAAGUUUUUUGAGUAGGAAAGUUUUCCUUAUAUUGAAAAACAGGGGGAGCUGCUGUGCGAUAGCAUCGCUUAAGGCAAGGCUCCCCAGGUGUGGUCCCAAGACCUUGUGGUACGUGUUGAAAGUGCAGUUUUCCCAGCUCCAUCCCUAACUGUCUGGAUUAGAAUCUCCCAGCCCUCCAGGUGAUUCUGAGGUGCAUUAAACUAUCCGAACUACAAGCCAGAAGGCAAAGGAGAGCGGCUGGGCAAGGAGAAGUGCGGGAGUGAGAUUGUGACCAAGUGGGGGCAGACCUGAUGAAAUUAGAGAAGGCACCUCCCCGUCAAGGAAGCGAACCCCAGGAGUUCCAAGGAUGUACUCCAGGGACCACCAAGUGGGAGAGUUCUGGGCCCCCAUAUCUGUGUCUGCCCCUCUAUUCUUCAUCAUCUCCAACUCUCAGCUGUAAACUGAGCAGCUCACUUUUAUCUAUUUUAUCUAUUGGAAUUUUACAUACAAUUUUAUUUGAAGAAAGUCAUGGUGCUUAAAAACAGAUUUGAAUAUUGUUGGUUGAGAGAAUGAUGCCCAAGCAAGGCCAAUUACAGCAUGAAUACUGCACAUAUCACACUUAUAAUUGUAUUUUGAGAGAGUGAACUAUGGCUGCAAUAAACAACCACAUGCAGGAAAUAUGAUUAGAAUGGUUCUAAAAGGCCCUGAUUCCUACUAGCCUGUUAUUAUUGAAGGAAAUUUCUCCAUUAUAGACCUAUUGAUCUGGGCUGAAGCAUUUUAAUCAGUAUACAGGAAUGUUAUCAUAGCUAUGGUUGUGUUUGCCCUUUGUGCCUCUUGACUGACCUCCUUGUGGUAACAAAACCCCUAUUUCCAGUGGGGAGCCCAUUCCCAGUGCUUUAGGGUGGGUAUAGGACCCAAGGCUGACUAAUGAGUAUGCGUAAUUCACCUGGCCAUAGUAAAGGAUUCAGGGAUGAUAUAUGAUUAAGCUGGGCCAAUCAGAGCCCAUCUUGAGAUUUUUAUUGGAAUUAUUGGGACCACUAGCUGUAAGGAUGAGGUAAAUCUAGAGCUGCUGGUGGCCCUCUUUGCCAUCACAUAAGAACACCAUGCCUUAAAAUGAAGCCAAGACCAAAAAGGCAGAACUGAGAAAUGGCAAUAGAUUUCUGAGGACAUUGUCUAAACCCUGGACUCAGCUCUUUCUGGAGUUAGUUUACCCCUUGAACUUCCCAUCUAUGUAAAUUUCCUUUGUGUUUAAGUGUGAGUUGAAUUUCUCUCUGUUACCGCUGAGAGUCACAGCCCAAUCACUGCAUGAUUUUUGCUGAUGAAGUUUC
rnacentral:lncRNA from 1 species